rnacentral:rRNA from 1 species
GGGUCAGUAGGUAGCUCGUGCCACCGGUACGUACUGGUCUCACUGAUUCCUCCUUCCUGAAGAACCGUAAUGCCAUUAAUUUGGUGUUGCGGGGAAACAGGACUGUUACUUUGAAAAAAUUAGAGUGUUUAAAGCAUGCUAACGCUUGAAUACAUUAGCAUGGAAUAAUGAAAUAGGACGAUCGAUCCUAUUUUGUUGGUUUCUAGGAUUGACGUA